CCUACGGGAGGCAGCAGUGGGGAAUAUUGCACAAUGGGCGCAAGCCUGAUGCAGCCAUGCCGCGUGUGUGAAGAAGGCCCUAGGGUUGUAAAGCACUUUCAGCGAGGAGGAAAGGGUGUAGGUUAAUACCCUGCAUCUGUGACGUUACUCGCAGAAGAAGCACCGGCUAACUCCGUGCCAGCAGCCGCGGUAAUACGGAGGGUGCGAGCGUUAAUCGGAAUUACUGGGCGUAAAGCGUGCGUAGGCGGCUUGUUAAGUUGGAUGUGAAAGCCCCGGGCUCAACCUGGGAACGGCACCCAAAACUGGCAAGCUAGAGUGCGGAAGAGGAGUGUGGAAUUUCCUGUGUAGCGGUGAAAUGCGUAGAUAUAGGAAGGAACACCAGUGGCGAAGGCGACACUCUGGUCUGACACUGACGCUGAGGUACGAAAGCGUGGGGAGCAAACAGGAUUAGAUACCCUGGUAGUCCACGCCGUAAACGAUGUCUACUAGUCGUCGGGGAUCUUGCAUUUCUGGUGACGCAGCUAACGCGAUAAGUAGACCGCCUGGGGAGUACGGCCGCAAGGUUAAAACUCAAAUGAAUUGACGG
rnacentral:rRNA from 1 species